rnacentral:rRNA from 1 species
CAGUAGCCGCGGUAAAACGAAGGGGGCUAGCGUUGCUCGGAAUGACUGGGCGUAAAGGGCGCGUAGGCGGAUGACACAGUCAGAUGUGAAAUUCCCGGGCUUAACCUGGGGGCUGCAUUUGAUACGUGUUGUCUAGAGUGAGGAAGAGGGUUGUGGAAUUCCCAGUGUAGAGGUGAAAUUCGUAGAUAUUGGGAAGAACACCGGUGGCGAAGGCGGCAACCUGGUCCUUUACUGACGCUGAGGCGCGAAAGCGUGGGGAGCAAACAGGAUUAGAGACCCCAGUAGUCCCUGUCUCUUAUAC